UGGGGAAUUUUGGACAAUGGGCGAAAGCCUGAUCCAGCAAUGCCGCGUGUGUGAAGAAGGCCUUCGGGUUGUAAAGCACUUUUGUCCGGAAAGAAAUCCUUGGCUCUAAUACAGUCGGGGGAUGACGGUACCGGAAGAAUAAGCACCGGCUAACUACGUGCCAGCAGCCGCGGUAAUACGUAGGGUGCAAGCGUUAAUCGGAAUUACUGGGCGUAAAGCGUGCGCAGGCGGUUUGCUAAGACCGAUGUGAAAUCCCCGGGCUCAACCUGGGAACUGCAUUGGUGACUGGCAGGCUAGAGUAUGGCAGAGGGGGGUAGAAUUCCACGUGUAGCAGUGAAAUGCGUAGAGAUGUGGAGGAAUACCGAUGGCGAAGGCAGCCCCCUGGGCCAAUACUGACGCUCAUGCACGAAAGCGUGGGGAGCAAACAGGAUUAGAUACCCUGGUAGUCCACGCCCUAAACGAUGUCAACUAGUUGUUGGGGGAUUCAUUUCCUUAGUAACGUAGCUAACGCGUGAAGUUGACCGCCUGGGGGAGUACGGUCGCAAGAUUAAAACUUAAA
rnacentral:rRNA from 1 species